GAUGAAGAACGCAGCGAAAUGCGAUAAGUAAUGCGAAUUGCAGAAUUCAGUGAGUCAUCGAAUCUUUGAACGCACAUUGCGCCCUGUGGUAUUCCGCAGGGCAUGCCUGUUCGAGCGUCAUUUCAACCCUCAAGCCCCGCUUGGUGUUGGGCCCCGCCCGCUGUGGCCGGCCCUAAAGACAGUGGCGGCGCCGCCUGGCCCUCAGCGUAGUACAUCUCUCGCUCCAGGGUCCGGUGGCCGCUUGCCAGAACCCCCCAACUCUGUGGUUGACCUCGGAUCAGGUAGGGAUACCCGCUGAACUUAAGCAUAUCAAUAAGCGGAGGA
rnacentral:misc_RNA from 1 species